AUUGAACGCUGGCGGCAUGCUUUACACAUGCAAGUCGAACGGUAACAGGCCGCAAGGUGCUGACGAGUGGCGAACGGGUGCGUAAUGCAUCGGAACGUGCCCAGUCGUGGGGGAUAACUACUCGAAAGAGUAGCUAAUACCGCAUACGAUCUAUGGAUGAAAGCGGGGGACCGUAAGGCCUCGCGCGAUUGGAGCGGCCGAUGUCAGAUUAGGUAGUUGGUGGGGUAAAGGCUCACCAAGCCAACGAUCUGUAGCUGGUCUGAGAGGACGACCAGCCACACUGACUGAGACACGGCCCAGACUCCUACGGGAGGCAGCAGUGGGGAAUUUUGGACAAUGGGCGCAAGCCUGAUCCAGCAAUGCCGCGUGCAGGAAGAAGGCCUUCGGGUUGUAAACUGCUUUUGUACGGAACGAAACGGCUCUGGUUAAUACCCGGGGCUAAUGACGGUACCGUAAGAAUAAGCACCGGCUAACUACGUG
rnacentral:rRNA from 1 species